AACGAACGCUGGCGGCAUGCCUAACACAUGCAAGUCGAACGAGACCUUCGGGUCUAGUGGCGCACGGGUGCGUAACGCGUGGGAACCUGCCCUUAGGUUCGGAAUAACUCCCCGAAAGGGGUGCUAAUACCGGAUAAUGUCUUCGGACCAAAGAUUUAUCGCCUUUGGAUGGGCCCGCGUUGGAUUAGCUAGUUGGUAGGGUAAAAGCCUACCAAGGCGACGAUCCAUAGCUGGUCUGAGAGGAUGAUCAGCCACACUGGGACUGAGACAGGGCCCAGACCCAUAGGGGAGGGAGAAGGGGGAAAUAUGAGAAAAGGGGAAAAAGAGUGAAACAGAAAAGCGGGGUGAGGGAGAAGGGCGUAGGGGUGAAAAAGAUUUUUAACCGGGGAUGAAAGAGACGAAAAGGGGAAAAAAAGCCCCGGAAACCCCCG
rnacentral:rRNA from 1 species